rnacentral:rRNA from 1 species
GUGGGGAAUAUUGCGCAAUGGGCGAAAGCCUGACGCAGCAACGCCGCGUGAGGGAUGACGGCCUUCGGGUUGUAAACCUCUUUCAGCAGGGAAGAAGCGAAAGUGACGGUACCUGCAGAAGAAGCACCGGCUAACUACGUGCCAGCAGCCGCGGUAAUACGUAGGGUGCAAGCGUUGUCCGGAUUUAUUGGGCGUAAAGAGCUCGUAGGCGGUUAGUCACGUCGGAUGUGAAAACCCGGAGCUUAACUCCGGGCCUGCAUUCGAUACGGGCUGACUAGAGUGUUGUAGGGGAGACUGGAACUCCUGGUGUAGCGGUGAAAUGCGCAGAUAUCAGGAAGAACACCGGUGGCGAAGGCGGGUCUCUGGGCAACUACUGACGCUGAGGAGCGAAAGCGUGGGGAGCAAACAGGAUUAGAAACCCUGGUAGUCC